rnacentral:rRNA from 1 species
AUGAAAUCCAUCACGAGAGCCCUCUGCACUCGCCUUCAGCGGCACAUCCACUCCUUGGUGGACCCCGACCAGACGGGGUUCCUUCCCGGAAGGCGCAUCUCGGAGAACAUCGUGUACGCUGCGGACCUCCUCCGUGCCUGCCAUGUGCGUAAGGUCCCCACUGUAGUGUUUAAAAUCGAUUUCCGCAAAGCCUUUGACUCUGUCAACUGGUCAAGCCUUCUCACGAUCUUGUCUGUGCGCGGGUUUGACGAACGUUGGUGCGGAUGGAUCCAUGCCAUCCUCUCAACCGGGCACACGUCGGUUCUCCUUAAUAAUGUUCCCGGG